UACGUAGGGGGCAAGCGUUGUCCGGAAUCAUUGGGCGUAAAGCGCGUGUAGGCGGCCCGGUAAGUCCGCUGUGAAAGUCGGGGGCUCAACCCUCGGAUGCCGGUGGAUACUGUCGGGCUAGAGUGCGGGAGAGGUGGAGUGGAAUUCCGUGGUGUAGCGGUGAAAUGCGUAGAUAUCAGGAGGAACACCGAUGGCGAAGGCAGCUCUCUGGCCUGUAACUGACGCUGAGGUGCGAAAGCGUGGGGAGCGAACGGG
rnacentral:rRNA from 1 species